rnacentral:rRNA from 1 species
UGGGGAAUUUUGGACAAUGGGCGAAAGCCUGAUCCAGCAAUGCCGCGUGUGUGAAGAAGGCCUUCGGGUUGUAAAGCACUUUUGUCCGGAAAGAAAUCCUUGGCUCUAAUACAGUCGGGGGAUGACGGUACCGGAAGAAUAAGCACCGGCUAACUACGUGCCAGCAGCCGCGGUAAUACGUAGGGUGCAAGCGUUAAUCGGAAUUACUGGGCGUAAAGCGUGCGCAGGCGGUUUGCUAAGACCGAUGUGAAAUCCCGGGCUCAACUGGGAACUGCAUUGGUGACUGGCAGGCUAGAGUAUGGCAGAGGUGGUAGAAUUCCACGUGUAGCAGUGAAAUGCGUAGAGAUGUGGAGGAAUACCGAUGGCGAAGGCAGCCCCCUGGG